UACGGAGGGAGCUAGCGUUGUUCGGAAUUACUGGGCGUAAAGCGCACGUAGGCGGCGACUCAAGUCAGAGGUGAAAGCCCGGGGCUCAACCCCGGAACUGCCUUUGAAACUAGGUUAGGUCUAGAAUCUUGGAGAGGUCAGUGGAAUUCCGAGUGUAGAGGUGAAAUUCGUAGAUAUUCGGAAGAACACCAGUGGCGAAGGCGACUGACUGGACAAGUAUUGACGCUGAGGUGCGAAAGCGUGGGGAGCAAACAGG
rnacentral:rRNA from 1 species